rnacentral:rRNA from 1 species
AGCAGCCGCGGUAAUUCCAGCUCCAAUAGCGUAUAUUAAAGUUGUUGCAGUUAAAAAGCUCGUAGUUGAAUUUCGAGACCGGCUUACUGGUCGUGCUAUUGUGCGUACUGGUAUAAUCGGUUUCUCCUUUCUGACGAACUAUAAUGCCAUUAAUUUGGUGUUAUAGGGAAUCAGGACUGUUACUUUGAAAAAUUAGAGUGUUUAAAGCAGGCUCACGCUUGAAUACAUUAGCAUGGAAUAACGGAAUAGGACGUUUGAUUCUAUUUUGUUGGUUUCUAGGAUCGACGUAAUGAUUAAUAGGGAUAGUUGGGGGCAUUAGUAUUCAAUUGUCAGAGGUGAAAUUCUUGGAUUUAUUGAAGACUAACUACUGCGAAAGCAUUUGCCAAGGAUGUUUUCAUUAAUCAAGAACGAAAGUUAGGGGAUCGAAGACGAUCAGAUACCGUCGUAGUCUUAACCAUAAACUAUGCCGACUAGGGAUCGGAUGAUGUUAAUUUUUAAUGACUCAUUCGGCGCCUUAACC